rnacentral:rRNA from 1 species
UUGAACGCUGGCGGCAGGCCUAACACAUGCAAGUCGAGCGGAAACGAGUUAACUGAACCUUCGGGGAACGUUAACGGCGUCGAGCGGCGGACGGGUGAGUAAUGCCUAGGAAAUUGCCCUGAUGUGGGGGAUAACCAUUGGAAACGAUGGCUAAUACCGCAUGAUGCCUACGGGCCAAAGAGGGGGACCUUCGGGCCUCUCGCGUCAGGAUAUGCCUAGGUGGGAUUAGCUAGUUGGUGAGGUAAGGGCUCACCAAGGCGACGAUCCCUAGCUGGUCUGAGAGGAUGAUCAGCCACACUGGAACUGAGACACGGUCCAGACUCCUACGGGAGGCAGCAGUGGGGAAUAUUGCACAAUGGGCGCAAGCCUGAUGCAGCCAUGCCGCGUGUGUGAAGAAGGCCUUCGGGUUGUAAAGCACUUUCAGUCGUGAGGAAGGUUUAUGCGUUAAUAGCGUAUAGAUUUGACGUUAGCGACAGAAGAAGCACCGGCUAACUCCGUGCCAGCAGCCGCGGUAAUACGGAGGGUGCGAGCGUUAAUCGGAAUUACUGGGCGUAAAGCGCAUGCAGGUGGUUUGUUAAGUCAGAUGUGAAAGCCCGGGGCUCAACCUCGGAAUAGCAUUUGAAACUGGCAGACUAGAGUACUGUAGAGGGGGGUAGAAUUUCAGGUGUAGCGGUGAAAUGCGUAGAGAUCUGAAGGAAUACCGGUGGCGAAGGCGGCCCCCUGGACAGAUAC